AUUGAACGCUGGCGGCAGGCCUAACACAUGCAAGUCGAGCGGAUGACGGGAGCUUGCUCCCGGAUUCAGCGGCGGACGGGUGAGUAAUGCCUAGGAAUCUGCCUGGUAGUGGGGGACAACGUUUCGAAAGGAACGCUAAUACCGCAUACGUCCUACGGGAGAAAGCAGGGGACCUUCGGGCCUUGCGCUAUCAGAUGAGCCUAGGUCGGAUUAGCUAGUUGGUGAGGUAAUGGCUCACCAAGGCGACGAUCCGUAACUGGUCUGAGAGGAUGAUCAGUCACACUGGAACUGAGACACGGUCCAGACUCCUACGGGAGGGAGCAGUGGGGAAUAUUGGACAAUGGGCGAAAGCCUGAUCCAGCCAUGCCGCGUGUGUGAAGAAGGUCUUCGGAUUGUAAAGCACUUUAAGUUGGGAGGAAGGGCAGUAAGCGAAUACCUUGCUGUUUUGACGUUACCGACAGAAUAAGCACCGGCUAACUCUGUGCCAGCCGCCGCGGUAACAC
rnacentral:rRNA from 1 species